GUGCUUCUUUUGGCAGCACACAUACUAAAAUUGAAACGAAAUAGAGAAGAUUAGAUGGCCCCUGUGCAAGGAUGACAUGCAAAUUCAUGAAACAUUCCAUAUAUAU